GUGGGGAAUCUUCCGCAAUGGACGAAAGUCUGACGGAGCAACGCCGCGUGAGUGAAGAAGGUUUUCGGAUCGUAAAGCUCUUUCGUUAGGGACGAACGUGCUCUUUGUGAAUAAUGAGGAGUAAUGACGGUACCUAAAUAAGAAGCCACGGCUAACUACGUGCCAGCAGCCGCGGUAAUACGUAGGUGGCAAGCGUUGUCCGGAAUUAUUUGGCGUAAAUCGCGCGCAGGCGGGAUAUCAAGUCUGUCUUAAAAGUGCGAGGCUCAACCUCGUGAGGGGACAGAAACUGGUAUUCUUGAGUGUCGGAGAGGAAAGUGGAAUUCCAAGUGUAGCGGUGAAAUGCGUAGAGAUUUGGAAGAACACCAGUGGCGAAGGCGACUUUCUGGACGAUGUCUGACGCUGAGGCGCGAAAGCUAGGGGAGCGAACGGGAUUAGAUACCCCGGUAGUCC
rnacentral:rRNA from 1 species